ACCACCGUUUAUCACACGGCACGACGUAUGUAUCCGACCUAGGUCUGGAUAAUGGGAACUCGACUUGUCAUCAUUUUUCCGACUGAACGCGUCACACGCCAUCCGACUGAACGCGUUGGACGCCAUCCGACUGAACGCAUCGGACGACAUUCGACUAUCGGAUCCUACAGAAUGAUUCGGCCAUUAAGCUAUGUCCAGAGAUCGAUCGACCUUCGACUCGACGAUGAGCGAUGAGCGAUGAGCGUUCGACUCAAGCUCUCGACUGUCGAGUCAUACAACAGUCGGGAGGCUGAUCUAAAGUCGGAGUUCGCUCUGCCUUUGCCACGGCGUGCACUACCGAC
rnacentral:lncRNA from 1 species